UACGUAGGGUCCGAGCGUUGUCCGGAGUUACUGGGCGUAAAGCGCACGUAGGCGGCUUUGUAAGUCAGGGGUGAAAUCCUGGAGCUCAACUCCAGAACUGCCUUUGAUACUGGAGAGCUUGAGUCCGGGAGAGGUGAGUGGAACUCCGAGUGUAGAGGUGAAAUUCGUAGAUAUUCGGAAGAACACCAGUGGCGAAGGCGGCUCACUGGCCCGGUACUGACGCUGAGGUGCGAAAAGCGUGGGGAGCAAACAGG
rnacentral:rRNA from 1 species